rnacentral:ncRNA from 1 species
AAAAAAUCGACUUUAAGAGAAGUAGCUAGGAUAGAAAAAAUCACAGAAAGUUUCGGCUGAUGAGAAGAAACAUUUUUUCCCUAGUGAAUGGACUUAUUGGAGCGUUCUUGAACCAGAGUAGGGAACGACGGGAGCUCCCGUUACAGAGUACGAUCGUUGUUGGACGAUUAGAGUUGCUGUUUGCGAACAGUAAAAAAGAGGUGGUACCGCGCUGCUUGCGCCCUCAAA